GACGAACGCUGGCGGCGUGCUUAACACAUGCAAGUCGAACGGAAAGGCCCCUUUGGGGGUACUCGAGUGGCGAACGGGUGAGUAACACGUGAGUAACCUGCCCUUGACUUCGGGAUAACUUCAGGAAACUGGGGCUAAUACCGGAUAGGAAUCCUUGCUGCAUGGUGGGGGUUGGAAAGCUUCGGCGGUUUUGGAUGGACUCGCGGCUUAUCAGCUUGUUGGUGGGGUAGUGGCUUACCAAGGCUUUGACGGGUAGCCGGCCUUGGAGGGCGACCGGCCACAUUGGGACUGAGAUACGGCCCAGACUCCUACGGGAGGCAGCAGUGGGGAAUAUUGCACAAUGGGCGGAAGCCUGAUGCAGCAACGCCGCGUGCGGGAUGACGGCCUUCGGGUUGUAAUCCGCUUUCAGCAGGGGCGAAGCUUGUGGUGACGGUACCUGCAGAAGAAGCACCGGCUAACUACGUG
rnacentral:rRNA from 1 species